rnacentral:rRNA from 1 species
AUACGUAGGGGGCGAGCGUUGUCCGGAAUGAUUGAGCGUAAAGGGCGCGUAGGCGGCCCGGUAAGUCUGGAGUGAAAGUCCUGUUUUUAAGAUGGGAAUUGCUUUGGAUACUGUCGGGCUUGAGUGCAGGAGAGGUAAGUGGAAUUCCCAGUGUAGCGGUGAAAUGCGUAGAGAUUGGGAGGAACACCAGUGGCGAAGGCGACUUACUGGACUGUAACUGACGCUGAGGCGCGAAAGUGUGGGGAGCAAACAGGAUUAGAUACCCUGGUAGUCCACGCAGUAAACGAUGAUGGCUAACCGCUGGGCUUAUCAGUUCAGUGGCCAAGCGAAAGCGAUAAGCCAUCCACCUGGGGAGUACGACCGCAAGGUUGAAACUCAAAUGAAUUGACGGGG